ensembl:rRNA 5S_rRNA 5S ribosomal RNA
GACAUUUGGUAGAGACGGUUGAAGCCACCUGGUCCCAGCAGACCUGGGAAGGCAGCCACAUUCGCUGGUUCUGGGGCAAGGUUGCUGAGGGUGAAGCCUGGUGUCAGAUGUGU